CACGAGCCUCUCCUACUCAGCAUGUUCAAUACCGCAGCCAUCUUUCCCCCGCAAACUGUCUUCUGAUGUCUCUGCCACCUACCCAGUUCCUAGACAGAGCCCUGGACAACACCUUCCACCCUUCCCACAGCCGACUCAAGGUCCAUAACUUCCAGCUUCUGAAUCUCUUAUCUGGUCAUCCUCUCUUCUCCCCCACCCUUCACCAGCUGUGUCAAUUCAGCUGCCUCUCCUUGCUCUCCUGCCUCCAGUCCCUCCCCUUCCAAUUCAGCCUCCACACAGGGCUAAAGGGCCUCUUCUCAGGCACAAAUCUGGCUCUGCCAUGACUUGGCUUAACACUCUUCUCUGACUUUCUAAGAGAUGAAAGUCCCCGCUGCCCACCCUGGCCCUAAGCACCUCCAGCCACUCCCUACCUUGCCUGCUCCCUGUCACGCGCAUCCGUGUGAAGAGAGUCCACCAACAUGCUUUGUGUGAGCAACAAGGCUGUUUAUUUCACCUGGGUGCAGGCGGGCUCAGUCCGAAAAAGGAGUCAGCAAAGGGUGCUGGGAUUAUCAUUAGUUCUUAUAGGUUUUGGGAUAGGCGGUGGAGUUAGGAGCAGUGUUUUGCGGGCAAGGGGUGAAUCUCACAAAGUACAUUCUCAAGGGUGGGGAGAAUUACAAAGAAACUUCUUAAGGGUGGGGGGAGAUUACAAAGUACAUUGAUCAGUUAGGGUGGGGCAGAAACAAAUCACGAUGGAAUGUCAUCAGUUAAGGCUAUUUUCACUUCUUCUGUGGAUCUUCAAUUGCUUCAGGCCAUCUGGAUGUAUACAUGCAGGUCACAGGGGAUAUGAUGGCUUAGCUUGGGCUCAGAGGCCUGACACUCCUCUGCAGCCACUCUGAGCAGCCUGGGGCUCCAAUCUCUGUGCCUUUGUUCCUGCCAUUCCCUCUAGCUGGAGCCCCCCUAACCCCUGUCCCUGGUGAACAAGACUGCCUGGUAUGGGUGAGAAGUUCCUUGAGAGCUGGGGUAGGCACUGGGUUGAGGGUCAGGCGUGGUGGGGAAAGAGGGAGUCCUUCCAGCGGGGCUCUGGAGGGCCUCUAAAAUGAGGCAUCCCCUUCCCACAUCAGAGACUUCUGCAGGGCGAAAGGGUUGGAUGGGCCCAGGAGGGCACCUUCAACUGGCCUUCCUCCGCCCAAAAACUGAGUCUCCCUUUCCCUUAGAAGUUUAUCAUCUCAUAUCCCCUGGCACAGGACCAGAGGCCAAGGCAGGGCUUGGGGAAUGGCGAGGGUUGGGGAGGGCAAGAACACAGUUUUGCUAGCCCUGACGGGGCUCUUCCAGGGGCCUGUUGCAACCCCCAUCUAAGGACUUCUCCUCAUUGGCCAGUGAGGGUUUGGUUGGGUCCCUGGAGGACUCAAAGGAUCAACCCAAAAUUUGGGGCCUCAUCUGUGUGAGCUUUGUAUGUCUUCUCCCUCAGCCCCUGACCCAGCCUCGGAGCCUCCACCCUCGACUCACCAGGCCCUCCCACUAGGCCCAGAGCAUCCUCUCCAGAACCCCCACCUUGGCUCCUGACCGCAGAGACAAGGAGAGACCAUGAGCUCUGGUAAACUCCACCCAGCCUUGCUCUGUCACAAGGGAAUGCCAGUGUCAAGAAUUAAACUUGAAGCAUCUCAGUUCCUCUCAGCCCCAUUAUCCCAUUUUUGAGGUAUGAAAACUGAGGCCCACAGAAGUUAAAUCACUUGCCCAAAGUUCAGGGUGCACACUUGAGUGUUUUUUUUUUUUUUUUUUUUGA
rnacentral:lncRNA from 10 species